rnacentral:lncRNA from 1 species
GUUCUAGUAAGUAUUUAUAGAUAACAAGUUAACAUUCAGUUGUGGUAACUGAGUUUAAAAUAUGUCCUACUGAUGCAUACUUCUCCUAGGAUACUGGAGAGAAUUCCCCAUUCCAGUGAUACUCUACAAUGGAAGGAAAAAAGAGCCAGAGGGAAGGACUGGGUUGAGAGCACAAGACUGAACAUAUAGGAGAGAGGAAGCAUAUGGCACUGCAAAAGUUCUGAGAAGGAAGGCGGAUUCUGUACCCACUGAGCCAGCAGGGAAGCCUAAUGGAUAGAUGGAUGCCACAUGAAAGCCAGCCAGUCAACACCAAGAAGGACACUGAAGGCUUAUUGAAGAGCUAUGAGAAACAGCAGCGAGGACCCAGAACAUUCCAUAUCUCCAGACUGUGCAUCUUUGUGGGUCUGGGUGGAAUGGGGACCACCUUGUGGACUCUGAUGGCUUUUAUUUACAUCCUGAAUUCCCUUCAGAGUAGUUUUCUUGGGGGCAGUCAAUUUAAGAUGUAAAACCAAAGUGGAAAAGACAAGUGGAGCUGGUUCUUCUGAGGGCUCUUCCCCUUCUGGACCAGGCAAAGGUCAUGCCUCAGCUGUGACCCAUUCAUUCCCUGGGGGUGUCCAAGCCUGGAGGGACUCUGUCCCAUUCAGUCCCUGGAAGCUGGUUAGCCAAGCUGCCAGGCUCCCUGCCUUCCCUCCCCCAUGACUGACAUUGGUCCAGAAUGUCCAUUACCUUUGUGAACAAGGUUUGCUGUUCAUUAAAAAUUGCCUUUCCUGUGAACAAGAAAAUUACUUGCUUCCCCCCCCACCCUUUAGCUGACAGUCUCACUUCUCAUUAGGAUUGGACGAGCUGCAAACCCAAUCUAAUCCAGAAAUGCCCAAUAAGACUAAUUUGAAUUUUGUCCCAGGCCAAAUGAUGGGGAGGAAGUAACUGGAGAGAGGAACAGAAACCUCAUCUCAUUGCAUUUCUAAUUAUGUUGUUUCUCCCAGUGUGGGAAGAAUGGAACCCUGGGCCAGGCAGCCCCUGGGUCUGGGUGGUUUCAUCCAGAGAUUAAGUUCAUCUGGAGUGAAACUCAUAUAGAGCCUCGCAUUGCCAUUGCGCCACCUGCUGGAAGUUUGGAAAAAGAAUCUGAAACUCAGGGCUUGGUUGUAACUGGUAACUUCACAGUCUUAAUGAUUGUACUACUUCUCAUUUUGUCUUAUUACACAAGUUACACAGGUUUUUUUGGAAGACAAUUUAGAAAGUUCAUAUAAUUAAAACAAAACAAGUCACUCACAAUCCUGUCACCUAGAGAUUACCAGUGUUCAUAUUUUGUUAGCUUUCCUUCCAUCCUUCCAGUCUUUUUUCUAUUCAGGUAAUAAUAUGUAAUGUGUAAUAAUAUGUAAAUUCAUAUACACUGUCUCAUUCAAUACACGUUAUUCUGUAGCCUAAUUCACAGGCUUAACAUUAUGUAUUAAAUCUUUUUGCAUGUCAUUAAUUAUAAUGUGCAACCUGACUUUUGCUGAGCAGUUUUUAAAUAUCUCUUUAUCAUAAUUCUAUUAAUUACAGUUGUCUAUGCUUUGUGUUUUUACUAAAUCUUUUCCCCCUCCCUUUUCUCCCCUUCUUUCUUUCUCCUUCAUCCUUUCUUUCCUUCCUUCCAGCUUUUCAUCUUUACUUUUGUUUUCCCUCUAGUAGAAAACUUUUUCCACAGCAGAUGCUGUUUGGGGCAAUUCCUAGCAGUAUCUCUGGCCUCCCUCACCCCUUCAUAUGAGGGGCUCUAGAGUGUGUGGAUCACAAUAAAC